UUUUUGUUUUUUUUUUUUUUUUUUUUUUUUAAUAUAAUAAUUCAUCAUUUAUAUUACGCAUAUCUGUUGCUCUUGAUAGAGAAAGGUUCUUGAUUUGGCUGAUACAAGCACGGGAAGAAUAGACAUACACAUCAUGACGCAAGAUGUAUUUGUGGAACAUGUCUUUGGAAACAUCAAAUUAGAGAAAAAAGU
rnacentral:ribozyme from 16 species